CUUAGGAACAGUGAUGAUGUCACAAGGGUAGAAUUAGCACCUAUUAAUAUGAAGAGGCACAGAGAAGAGAUGAAUAAUGGGCUUGGGGACUGAAUUAGACACAAAUUACUAGGAAUUUUUUGGACAGGAAAAAUACUUGAAAGGUGAUGCAUAACGCCAAGCCGUACAGUCUGGAGGGUGAAAGCCAAGUCUGAAGGAAGCUGUCAGCAUGGAGGGAUGUGCUGCGACUGUUGGCUCCAUGUUUGUCCCCACGGACCUCAGACAGGCGGUGAGAAGCAGGACAACAUGAUUGCCAUUUGUGAGAAGAGCAGACAUCUCUCUGUUUCCUUGCUGGAACUGUCCAUCACAUGGAAUAACAACCCCAGAACUUCCCAGUUACAAGGACAUUUGAGAAGGAAUGACCAAAGUUGUUGGUUAUUCACUGGAGAGAUGCUCAUCUUUAAAGUGUUCUUCAGACUGAAGAGUUCUCUGUCACUUAUUCCAGGGUCUUCUCACUUUGAAUAAAGCAUUGU